CCUACAGCCCCUACAAUAAGCCCUACUGAUUUCCAGACCAGCUAAGGGGCUCAUCUUGACAUGGAGUAAAUGUUAUCAUCUCCCCUCUGCUCUUUGCAUUUGGGGGCCCUGAGAAGACAAAGCCAAGCUUACCAGGUGUUUUCACAGCUUCGUCCCAACCCCAGACUAGGCUCCUCCAAAUGUCUUUGCUGAACAUUUCCUCCAAUCUCUUUCCAAUGCCCCAGGGAAGGCAGGAACUACAACCUUCUCACUGUAGGGUCACCAGCAUUUUAGACCUGGCCUGACAGACUGUAAGCAGUUACAUCUAUUUGAUAAAUGAGUGAAUGAACAAAUUGUAUCUGGGACUCUUUCAGGUAAUCAUGGGAGGACGGAAGGUGGCAAGAGAUGAAGAAAAUGCCUAUGGUUUCCAGGAGUUCAGGUCCGCCCUGCAGGAGCGCCGGCUGCGCCUCCUCCUGGCCGGGAGGGCGGGGACCGGGA
rnacentral:lncRNA from 1 species